rnacentral:lncRNA from 1 species
AAUACACCCACACGCCUGGGGGGCACUGCCAGGCUUUUCUGCCAGGAAGGCUGGCACUUUACCCUGGCUUCGUUCACAGCUGCAGGGAGGGACCAGAAGCCCUAGUCUGCGGGUAAGGAAAUGGCCUCAUGGAGAGGCAGCUGGUCCACUAACAUCUCACUUCUGAACUCCACACCCCACCAGGCUCUGAAUUAAGUGUCUUUCAGGCUCUCAGCCCUACCAGGUGGGACUUUAUUUUUAGCCCCAAUCUGCAGGUGGUGACAGAGACACCGAGAGGGCUCAGACACUUGCCCAAGUCAUCCAGCUGAGCAGCUCAGGGGAGGUCUGUACCCAGAGCCUUCGCCCCAACUUCUAGAAUAUACCAACCUGCUCAGUGGAGGGGACAGAGACAGGAUUCUAAUUCAGCUCACACUAAAUUCUAACCCACUAAAGCCCUGCUAGUUUUCCCUGGUAUACACGUCCAGCAAUGUUGCCUCAGGCCUGGACAGCCCCUGGGGCUCCAUACCUCAAGGGAAAGUCUGGUGGAGACCCUUGUCAGUCAGGCUUCCAGAAGGCCUAGCCCAGCACAACGUGGACCAGGUGACCGCCGGACUCCACAAAGGGCUCACUGUGGUGACUGGAGAAAGCCGAGGCCAGACCCGGCUGGGCCCUCUCUGCAAAGCCCUGCCCACAGAUCCCUGGUCUGGUCUCCCCCCCUCCCCCAAGGAGCCCCCAGACCCAGAGCACAGGAGUAGGACCAGCGGAGGCACGGGCCUCCAGCUGGAGCCAGUGGGGAGAGGCUGAGCCUACGGAAACCCGAAACCCUCCAGCAGCUGCGUGGUGGGAGGGGGCUGCAGACCCCUGUGGACCCCUGGGGGCUCAUCCAAGGUGCCCUGGACGCACCUGUCACUGGGGUGGGGUUCAGGAGGGGCUCUGAAGAGGGGAGGAAGGGGAUGGCUUCUCGUUCGCGCCCAUCUAGGGGAGGAAGGAAAUCUGUUUCCCAGUAUGGGGGGAAGGGGAUGCGACUUUGCGAGGUGUCAGGGCAGCCUGGGGAGGGGGACCCCGAGAGGGAAGGGACGGAUUGGCCUGAGAGGUGGGUGGCCUAGCUUCCCGCUGCA